UCCCCGCGCUCCCCGGCGCCCCCAGCCCGCUGACCCCCGGCCAGGCAGGCCCGCGGGGGAGGCAGGACCGGAGCCCUGAGGCCCUGGCCGGCCUCGGGGUUGAGGCUCAGCUCGGGAUAAGUGAUCUUUGGGGCCCGCAGAGGACGUCUCCCCAAGACCCAGUGGCAACCGGGGCACCACUGAGUUCAGUACUUCAAAAUUGCCGUGCUCUACCUCUCCCCAGUGCACAAAAACACUCUCCACACCAAGCUGCUGCUGCUGGGGGAUGGAGGGAUGGCGUCAGCGAUUCAAGACUGUUUUUCCUACCUGUUCAGCACUUCUUUCAGCGAUAUGAAGUUAAAUCCAGUCUUUCCCUGUCUCCAGGCAUCAUCGCCAUCAACAUACAGCCAUACUCCAGGAUUGCCCAUCUUCAACAUAAACGGACUCUCCUGGACUCCACUUCCCACAUCAGUCACAGCCACACUUCCUGAGAAAGAAGUCUACACUCUUCAUUCACUUUCAUUCACCCACUUCCAACCUGGCUCCUGUUACCACUGGACCGUCAAAAGUGACUCUUGUCAAAGUCACUAUUCUGGCUACCUAUUGCUGUGUAAUAACCUCCUCAAAAUUUAGUAUCUUUAAAAAACAAUUUAUUAUGUCUCAUACUUCUGUGGUUGACUGGGCUCAGCUGGGAAAUUCUUCUUGGGGUCUGUUUCUCAUGAGGUUGCAGUCAACAGCUGGGACUGGAGUCGUCUGAAGCCUCAGCUGAGCUGGACAUCCAAGAUGGCUCACUCACAUGGCUGGCAGUGGAUGGUGGCUGUUGGGUGGGAGCUUAGCUUGUGCUGGCAACUUGAGUGCCUAUAUGUGGCCACUCUGUGUGGCUUGGGCUUCUCAGAAUGGCAGCUGGGUUCCAGGAGGGAGUGUCCCAGGAGUGAGCAUUCCAGGAGAACCAGGUGGAAGCUGCAAGACUUCUUAUGAGCCAGGCUUGGAAGUCAUGCCAUGUGACUUCUACUAUAUACUGUUGGUCAUAAGCAAGACAAGGCCAUGCCAGAUUCAACAGAAGGGAUUACCCAGGGGCCCAGUUUACAUAGGAGGCCAUCUUUGGAGACUAGCUACCAUAGUCACCAGCGCAUUGGUCCUCAUCUUACUUGAC
rnacentral:lncRNA from 1 species